UUGCUCUUGUGGCUCUCCAAGUGAUCAUGAAGUGCAGCCAAGAUUGAACCACUGCUGCGUGAUCAAUGAAAUGAUUUGUUACCAUAAGAAUUACUUAGGUGUCUUCUGAAUUUACAUGACCUUUUUAGAGAACUGGAAUUUAGAACUCUCUGUGUGAGGGCAUUCUGUAAAGGGCAGAAGGAAGUUGGUACUACACAUGGCUUAUUGUCGGUAAGCAGAAAAAUAAGACAGGACGUUGUGCUUCUAAGGACAAGGAAAGAGGAAGCUUAGCAAUUAUUCACCUGUUCCACCAGUGCCAAGACACCCUUGAAUCACAGAUUAGAAAAAAAUAUUAACAAAGGAAACAAGAAGG
rnacentral:lncRNA from 1 species